CCGCCCAGCAGGCGACGUUGCGGGCGCUGGGCGCCAGGAGAGGUUCCCGGAGCCGACCUUCCGGCUGGCCGCUCUGUGACUGCUUCCCGGCUCUGCCCUCUUGGCUGAAGUCCCCGCUGCCGGGCGCGGGCCUCAGGUAACGGUGGU
rfam:Macaca mulatta 1099214663491, whole genome shotgun sequence.